rnacentral:rRNA from 1 species
CACGUAGGGGCGAGCGUUGUCCGGAAUUACUGGGCGUAAAGGGCGCGCAGGCUGUUAUGCGAGUCUGCUGUGAAAUGUACCGGCUCAACCGGUGCCUUGCGGCGGAUACUGCAUAGCUGGAGUACUGGAGAGGGAAGUGGAAUUCCUGGUGUAGCGGUGAAAUGCGUAGAUAUCAGGAGGAACUCCGGUGGCGAAGGCGACUUCCUGGCACAAGACUGACGCUCAUGUGCGAAAGCUAGGGUAGCGAACGGGAUUAGA